ensembl:miRNA
GCUAUUAGGUUGGUGCAAAAGUAAUCGCGGUUUUUGCCAUUUAAUUACUUUACAUUUCAUUAAUGGCAAAAACUGCGAUUACUUUUGCACCAACCUAAUACUUGCUA